rnacentral:rRNA from 1 species
CGAAAGCCUGACGCAGCCACGCCGCGUGAGUGAUGAAGGCCUUCGGGUUGUAAAGCUCUGUCGGGAGGGACGAAAGGGGCAACCCUUGACGGUACCUCGCAAGAAAGCACCGGCUAACUCUGUGCCAGCAGCCGCGGUAAUACAGAGGGUGCAAGCGUUGCUCGGAUUUACUGGGCGUAAAGCGUACGCAGACGGUAAGAAAGGUCGGAUGUGAAAGCCCCGGGCUCAACCCGGGAACUGCAUCCGAAACCAUCUUGCUAGAGUAUGAGAGAGGGAAGCGGAAUUCCUGGUGUAGAGGUGAAAUUCGUAGAUAUCAGGAGGAACACCGGCGGCGAAGGCGGCUUCCUGGCUCAUUACUGACGUUCAGGUACGAAAGCGUGGGUAGCAAACAGGAUUAGAUACCCUGGUAGUCCACGCCGUAAACGAUGUGUGCUGGAUGUCGGGGGUAUUCACCCCCUCGGUAUCGAAGCUAACGCGAUAAGCACACCGCCUGGGGAGUACGGCCGCAAGGUUG